ensembl:snRNA U2 U2 spliceosomal RNA
AACGCUUCUUGGCCUUUUGGCUAAGAUCAAGUGUAAUAUCUCCUCUUAUCAGUUUAAUAUCUGAUACGUCUUCUAUAUGAGGAGUACAUAUUAAAUUGAUUUUUAGAACAGGGAGACAGAAGAGGGGCUUGCUCCGUCUGCUCCACGCAUCGACCUAGAAUUGCAGUACCUCCGGGAACGGUGGGAUGACA